rnacentral:rRNA from 1 species
UUAUGGCUCAGGAUGAACGCUAGCGGCAGGCCUAAUACAUGCAAGUCGUACGGUAAAGUCCCCUCGGGGGAUUGAGAGUGGCGGACGGGUGCGUAACGCGUAUGCAACCCACCCCCGACGGGCGGAUAGCCGGUGGAAACGCCGGAUAACCCGCCAUGCGGCCCCACAGGGGCAUCCCUGUGGAGUCAAAGCGGCGACGCGGUCGGGACGGGCAUGCGUCCCAUUAGAUGGUUGGCGGUGCAAUGGACCACCAAGUCUACGAUGGGUAGGGGAUCUGAGAGGACGGUCCCCCACACUGGUACUGAGACACGGACCAGACUCCUGCGGGAGGCAGCAGUAAGGGAUAUUGGGCAAUGGGGGCAACCCUGACCCAGCCAUGCCGCGUGAGGGAAUGAGGCCCUACGGGUCGUGAACCUCUUUUGUCCGGGGACAAGGCAUCCCACGCGAUGGGAUGUUGAGGGUACCGGGAGAAUAAGCGUCGGCUAACUCCGUGCCAGCCGCUGC